rnacentral:rRNA from 1 species
ACGCUCGACACCUACAGGAGGCAGCAGUGGGGAAUAUUGCACAAUGGGGGAAACCCUGAUGCAGCAACGCCGCGUGAAGGAAGACGGUUUUCGGAUUGUAAACUUCUGUUCUUAGUGAAGAUAGUGACGGUAGCUAAGGAGCAAGCCACGGCUAACUACGUGCCAGCAGCCGACGGUAAUCGUGGACGGCGGGCGUGGACGAAGGC